UACGUAGGGUGCCAGCGUUAAUCGGAAUUACUGGGCGUAAAGCGUGCGCAGGCGGUUUUGUAAGUCUGACGUGAAAUCCCCGGGCUCAACCUGGGAAUUGCGUUGGAGACUGCAAGGCUAGAAUCUGGCAGAGGGGGGUAGAAUUCCACGUGUAGCAGUGAAAUGCGUAGAGAUGUGGAGGAACACCGAUGGCGAAGGCAGCCCCCUGGGUCAAGAUUGACGCUCAUGCACGAAAGCGUGGGGAGCAAACAGG
rnacentral:rRNA from 1 species